rnacentral:rRNA from 1 species
GAUGAACGCUGGCGGCGUGCUUAACACAUGCAAGUCGAACGGAAAGGCGCAAGCUUGCUUGGGUACUCGAGUGGCGAACGGGUGAGUAACACGUGUGUGAUCCGCCCUUCACUUCGGGAUAAGCCUGGGGAACUGGGGCUAAUACCGGAGAGGACCACAUGUUGGACGGUGUGGUGGAAAGUUUUUCGGUGUGGGAUGAGCUCGCGGCCUAUCAGCUUGUUGGUGGGGUAAUGGGCUACCAAGGCGUCGACGGGUAGGCGGCCUGAGAGGGUGUACGGCCACCUUGGGACUGAGGUACGGCCCAGGCUCCUACGGGAGGCAGCAGGGGGGAAUAUUGCAGAAUGGGCGCAAGCCUGAUGCAGCGGCGCCGCGUGGGGGAAGACGGCCUUCGGGUUGUAAACUCCUUUCGCUAGGGACGAAGCGCAAGUGACGGUACCUGAACAAGAAGCACCGGCUAACUACGUG